AUACUUUGCGUGGUACCACCGUUGCACGCCACAGUACGAAUCUGUCGGGUUUAAAACAAAGGGCGACCGAGUGGGCGUCAAGUGAACCUUUAAUACAGACUGUUCUAAUGUGGAUUUAAGUUCCUCGAGUGGGUUUUUUUACAGAAAAAUGGUUUCCAGUAAAUUAAUGAACGUAAGGGUGACGACCAUGGAUGCGGAGCUGGAAUUCGCCAUCCAGCAGUCGACAUCUGGAAAACAGCUCUUUGACCAAGUGGUCAAGACCAUCGGGUUGAGGGAGGUCUGGUUCUUCGGUCUUCAGUACACUGACUCCAAGGGGGAUCUUACCUGGGUGAAGUUGUACAGAAAGGUCAUGGCCCAAGAUGUCAAGAAGGAGAACCCCCUGCAAUUCAAAUUCCGCGCCAAAUUCUACCCGGAAGACGUGGCGGAAGAACUGAUCCAGGACAUCACCCUGCGACUCUUCUACCUCCAAGUGAAAAACGCCAUUUUAUCCGACGAGAUCUACUGCCCACCAGAAACUUCGGUACUUUUGGCCUCUUAUGCCGUCCAAGCCAGACAUGGGGACUAUCAAAAGAGUCUGCAUAAUCCAGGGUUCUUGUCCAGCGACCGACUUCUGCCACAAAGAGUAAUGGAUCAGCAUAAAAUGUCAAAAGAAGAGUGGGAGAACAGCAUAAUGACUUGGUGGAAGGAGCACAGGGGGAUGCUAAGGGAGGACGCCAUGAUGGAGUAUCUAAAAAUCGCGCAGGACCUGGAGAUGUACGGGGUGAACUACUUCGAGAUACGUAACAAGAAGGGGACGGAUCUGUACUUGGGGGUGGACGCUUUGGGGUUGAACAUCUACGAAAAAGACGAUCAGUUGACCCCCAAGAUCGGGUUCCCUUGGUCCGAGAUCCGGAAUAUUUCGUUCAACGAUCGCAAGUUCAUCAUCAAACCGAUCGACAAGAAGGCUCCGGAUUUUGUGUUUUUCGCACCGAGGGUCCGGAUCAAUAAGAGGAUUUUGGCCCUGUGUAUGGGCAAUCACGAGUUGUAUAUGAGGAGAAGAAAACCGGAUACUAUUGAUGUUCAACAAAUGAAGGCGCAAGCGAGGGAUGAAAAGUUGGCGAAACAGGCCCAAAGGGAGAAGUUGCAGUUCGAAAUUGCCGCCAGGGAGAGGGCGGAGAAGAAGCAGCAGGAGUAUGAGGACAGGAUUAAAGCCAUGCAAGAGGAGAUGGAACGUAGCCACGCCAACCUACUGGAAGCCCAAGAGAUGAUCAGGAGACUCGAGGAGCAGCUGAAACAACUGCAGGCAGCCAAGGAGGAGCUGGAACAGCGUCAGAACGAACUUCAGGCGAUGAUGGAACGUCUGGAGGAGAGCAAAAACAUGGAGGCGGCCGAACGUCAAAAGCUCGAGGACGAAAUCCAGGCGAAACAGGUCGAGGUGCAACGGAUCAGAGAGGAGGUCGAGGCAAAAGAUUCGGAAACGAAACGACUUCAGGAGGAGGUGGAGGCCGCGAGACGCAAGGAGGAGGAACUGAGACAGCAACAGUUGGCGAACGCCACCAAAGGUCACUUGGAGGAGAACCAUCACGACGAAGAUGACGAGUUGGUCAACGGGGACGUCAGCAAGGACCUGAACACCGACGAGAACAUCGUCGAUCCUAUAGAGGACAGACGCACCUUGGCCGAACGUAACGAACGUUUACAGGAUCAACUUCAGGCAUUGAAGAAGGAUCUGGCCCAAUCCCGUGACGAGACGAAGGAAACCGCCAUGGACAAAAUCCACAGGGAAAACGUCCGUCAAGGACGCGACAAAUACAAAACCCUUCGGGAAAUCCGUAAAGGAAACACCAAACGUCGUGUCGAUCAAUUCGAGAACAUGUAAAUUGCAAAAAAAAACGAAUUAUUCGGACCUAAAAUUAAUAUUACGACCAAUUAAACAACAAUAAAUACAGUUUUUAAUUUUAAAUUAAACCGUAACAAUUUUCCCUAUUUAUUCGUUUUAAAUAUUCAAAUUUGUCGCAUUUGGUGCAAGUUUUGGGACCCUCAGAACCUAAAAAUGACCCCGAUUUUACUCUAUCGAAUGUCGUUUCAAUGAUAUCGCGAAAAUUACAGUCUUUAUUUAAAAAAAUGGGAAUUUUUUGAGGUAUUAACGAAUUAGUUUUUUCCAUAUAAAAAUUUAAAUUCUAACUUUAAUAACUCUCAAACUACUUCAAGGAUUUUGAUGCGGUUUUCACUUAAAGUUUAAGCAACUCCUAAAGAACAUUUUGAUAUAUUAAGCACUGUUGUAGCUCAAAAACUUCCUGAGCUAGACUCAUUUUUAUGAGAAAUUAACCUGGACAAGCCUAAAAUUGGAAAUUCUUGAAUAAUCAACUUGCGAUAAUUCGAAAGCUAUUGAAGGUAUUUUAAUGAGGUUUUCACUGAAAGUUGACGCGUUUUUCACAGAACGGUUUCAUAUAUGAAGAAUUUUUGUAGCUCAAGUAUUUUCUGAGUUAGACUCAGAUUUAUCAGGGGUGGACCUAGGCAGGUCAAAAAUCGCGAUAAUUAAAUCAAAUGUUUAUGGAUUUUUAUGUUUUUUUGUAUUAAAAUGAUGGCAAUUUCUAAGGGACCAGUUUUCUAUAAAAAAUACUUUUUUAGCCUAAAAAUUUAAUAAUUUACAGCCGUUUUUGUUAAAUCAAGUUUAACAUCACUUUUUUCAGCAAAAAAUCAACUUCCUCCCUUGAUAACUCCCAAAGUACUUCAAGGAUUUUGAUGCGGUUUUCACUUAAAGUUUAAGCAACUCCUAAAGCACAUUUUGCUAUAUUAAACACUUUUGCAGCGCAAAAACUUCCUGAGCUAGACUCAUUUUUAUGAGAAACGAACCUGGAAAAGCCUAAAAUUGGAAGUUCUUAAAUAUUCAAAUUGCGAUAAUUCAAAAACUAUUUAAGGCAUUUUCAUGAGGUUUUCACUAAAAGUUGACGCGUUUUUCACAGAACGUUUUCAUAUACGAAGAAUUUUUGUAGCUCAAGUAUUUUCUGAGCUACACUCAGAUUUAUCAGGGGCGGACCCAGGCAGGUCAAAAAUCGCGAUAAUUAAAUCAAAUGUUCAUCGAUUUUUAUGUUUUUUCUAUUAAAAUGACGGCAAUUUCUAGCUUAAUAAUUCACGUAAUUAUAAUUCAAAAAUCCCUGGACUUGACUCAUAAUUUCCUUCUUCCAGUAAUUCGGCAUUGUACAGUUCCAUGGUAUUGGAAGACUGGAAUUAGAACUGCCUGGACUAAUUAAAUCAUUACUCGCUAUAAAUACUUUCAUUAGUUUUCUUAAUAAUUAAUAAUGAAAAUCCCUUUUUUUUCUUAGUUUUCCUCAUAUCCUGAAAUCGUCAAAGUUUUGAGGAAAACAGUCAAACUGAGUUCAACUUCUUGGCAAAAUAACCUCAACUUUUUGAAAUAACCUCAAACCGCAGCCGACCCUUACGUUACAACCGAGUUUCAUGAUAACGAUCGGUUAAAUUUGCGAUUAAAACGUGUACAGAAAAUAACCAAAGAACCUGCGAAAGUUUGUUUAGAAAGUCAGUAAAAUCGGUACAAAAACCGUGUUUUUGUACAUUUUUUAGUACAAUUUUUUGAUAUCUUAGAAACGAUAUUCGGCCGAUUAAAAUCAGAGUGGCCCAAAUAAUUUAGUUGCUUUUUUGAAUAUUAUUGUGCAAAUUUUUACAUAUUCGGGUCGAUAUCUUAAAACGAAACAAUAUAUUAUAGUAAAAUUGAUGUUAUUUUCGGAAUCGGUGGGGUUCAAAUACCCCAGAACGGUUUGCACCAUAUCGAUACACCACUGUUAUUAUAGACGUUUAAGCGUCUAUAAUUCAUUCAAUUUAAGGAGUUUUUCAAGUCACAUAAAGUUUUGCUCAUGCGAACAAUAACAAUAACAAAUUUACUAUUACUAUUAUUAUUAUUACUACUACUAUUUAUCUCUGUUAAUCCAGUGAAAUUUUACAAUGCUCAUCCCCACUAUAUAGUUUUUUAAACAUAUAUGAACUAAAAAAAGGUUGAUGGGUAUGAUGUUGUGCUAGCAUUAGUGUCUCAUUAUACAAACAUAGUUGAAGAAAAGUAGAAAAGAAGAGUAAGAAAAAAAAGAGUAAGAAAAGUAGAAAAGAAGGCAGUAAUUUUAAAACGCCUAUUUUACUCUAAUAAAUAACUAUUAUUAUUUGUUAUGGUACUAUUUUUAAGGUUUUAUCUCAAAGUAAUUAUUGUUUUGGAAUUUGACUAUUUAAACCGGUAUUAUAUAUUUUUAUUCUUUAAAUUUAAUUUUCAGUAUUCAAAAAUGAACUUUGUACAUCACCUCAUAGUUUUACCACCUUACACAUUUUUCAUUUACCUAAAAGUCAGAAAAUUAUAGUUUUUGGUUAACUGUAAUUUUCAUUGCCAAUCAUAGUUCCCAAUUAAAAUUUGAGAUAGAUAUAGAUUGUAGGUGAUGUUCAUUUCACAGGUAUUCAGCUGUAACUUUGCGUAAAAAAUACACGUAUUUAUACCUGGCUCUUCUAGGAGCCACAGUUAAAGGCCCAUGAAACGAACUUUAGGUACAAGGUGUUUCAUUUAAGAGGAAAAACGGCAUAUUUUUUACUUUUUCCGUAUCUUUACAAAAUUGAAGAUAGCCAAUCGACGUAUUUUAACUCGGAGAAUUUGAAAAUCGUUAUAAGAAAACAAUGUCGUCAGUCUUUUUUGUUUUCUUGUGACGAUUUUCAAAUUCUCCGAGUUAAAAUACCAGUGGCGGCUCAUGGGUCAAUCUUCAGGGGGGUCAUUUUAGUUUGAAAACUUAUAGUUUACUCUAAUAAAAAAAAAACAAAUCAAGCUAUUGAUUUUUUAAAGUAUUUGAAAGAUUGUUUUCUCGAUGCUCAACAUAGACAAGGCACUAAGUCUAGAUUGUCUUAUCGUAUUACGCAGGAAUGUUUUUACUCUUUUUAAAGUAGAAAAACAUCUCUCACUUUCCACGGUUGUCAUAGGGAGUGUGCACAAUAUAUUUAAUAAUUUCACUGCUUCAGAAAAUGUUUCAGAUAAAUUCAUGUUAAUAAAAAGCUGAAGUAUGGCUACUGCACCGGCACUAUUGCGAAAAUCCUCACGACAAUAUAUGACUUCAAGUUCCGAUUUUAAUUUGGAAAUAUUUACUGUGGGAUAAUGAUCCUUGACUGUGUAUGCUUCAAAUUUCUCUGUGUAGAAUAACUGUAAAAUCAUGAGAUGAUCAUUGAAAUCAAACCUGUGAUUUAUUUCAGAUAUAAUAUCACAAAUUUCCAGUGUAGUUCGUUGCUUUAGAUCCUCUGUAGCUGUAGUACUUUUUCUUUUUUUUUGCUGUUCAUGUGCUUGGUUCUUCUGAUUCCAAUAUAGUAUUUCUAAUUAUUUGGAUAUUGUUGUUAAAAGACAGUAUAUAAUUUUUAACAGAUCUGACAUCAAUAUCUCGCAUUUGUAAUUGUUUAAACAAUAUAUCAACAUGGGGCAUUAUUUUAUGGAAAAAAUUUAACCAAAAUAAAAAAAGCUCAUCUUCCAAAUGUCUUUUUAAACCAGUUGCUUGAUUUAUAUUGUUACCAUCUUGCUCCUUAUCAAUAAUUUCCUCUAAGCAAGAUUUUAAAUCAUCUUUAUAAGUGUAUACAAUUUCAACACAUUUUGUAUUGAAAGCCCAUCGAGUGGGUGCAGCUUUAGGUAGCCUUACUUUAACCACUCUAUCCAGAACCAUCGUACGUUUUGGAGAUCGGUCGAAAAAGGACGAAAAUGCGUGUAAAUUUGCAAAAAAUAUUUUUAUACGUUUAUGUUGACUCGCCGCUUUUUGCAGGAUAAGAUUAAGUUGAUGGGCAUAGCAGUGAAUAAAGUGUGCAUUUGGGUAUAUUUCUUUAAUUUUUGUUUGUACUCCUCCCAGUUUACCGCUCAUGACUGAUGCACCAUCGUAACUUUGGGCAAUCAAUUUUUCAGGUGCUUCAUUAAUUUUUAAUAAUUGAAGUUCUUCCAAUAUUACAUUAGUUAAAUGUUAUGCUGUGGUACCUGGUGGGUUAACAAAUUUCCAAAAUCUUUCAUGUACAAUACCAGUUAAUACAUAUCGUAAUAUGACAAUCAUCUGCGUUUUAUUGGAGCUGUCUGUGGUCUCAUCUACUUGAAUUGCCACAAAAUUUGUCUGGCCAAUCUCCUUAAUUAUAUGAGUAUGUACAAUGGCUAACAUUGAUUCUAAAAUAUCGUUCUGAAUUGUUUUUGAUGUUGCUUUAAAUACUGUACAUUUUUCAAUAUAUUCCUUAAACAUUAAAUCCAGUUCAGAAAUAAAAUCGAUAAGGCCCAGAAAAAUUCCAGGAUUAUUGGAGCUGUUACUUUCGUCAUGACCGCGCAAUGCAAUUUCGAAAACUUCGCAAAAUUUUACACAGACGAUUAUUUUGUUUAAAGUACAGUAACUAACUAAAACAAAACAUUCAUCCAGUCGGGCCGUCGACUACGUUAGCGAUAUAGGACUGAAAGGUGACUCUCACUCCCGCUCACGAAAUGCGAAUCUGUCCUCUUUGUUCUAUUUUACAUGCAUUUCUCCAUAAGCCAUAAGAACUGUAUAGGGACAAUUUAAAAUACGGCCCAGCCACGGGCUUGUGUGAUGAGCGCGAGGCGCGACGUUAGUAAUAUAUUUAUUUGUUUUGCUAUUAUAUUUGUUUUGCCAAUGCAGACUUAGAGAAUUUUAUAAUUCACAGUGAAGUUUUAGAUAAAAGAUAUUUUUAAUAAAAUUGGUAUAUUUAUGAGAUUAUUUUAGGGGGGUCAUUGACCAAUUGACCCUAAGAAGGAGCCGCCAUUGUAAAAUACGUCGAUUGGCUAUCUUCAAUUUUUUUUAACACAUUCACUGCCCAAAAAAAUCCUAGCGGUCACAUGUGUGCCGCCUAUUUUUUUAAAAUAAUUUUUUAAUUUAAGGCUAGUGUUAGGUUUAGGUUAGUGCCCUUAGCUGAUAUUGGCCAUUUUUUUGUAAAAAAAACAAGGCCGCCCUAGGGGCGGGCAAGGCACAGGGCAAGCCAACUACUUAGCUUGUGCCCGAUGCCGCCUCUGCGGCGUUCAAUUGACAUAUAAUAUAUCCUUUUUCGAAAAAGUCGAAGUAAAUAAUAAGACGAUACACAUACAUAUUUUAAUUUAUGAUAAAUAUUAAAGUUAAACAAUAAAACACAGAAAAUAAAAGAAAAAUAAAACAAAUAUGGCAACAAAAAAACUGAAACUAAACUUUAUUCAAAUCCAACAUAAUAAAAUUCUAUGUUGAAAAAUAUGAAAACUCAAAAACAAAAUACAAAAUCACUCUAUCAAAUAAACGAACAUAGUCAAAUAGAGACAAACACGAACAAAAUUUAUUUUGUGGAAUGAAAUACUCGAAAACAUGGAGUCAAGCAAAGCCCAGGUUGGUUAGGACACAAAGGACAAUAAUAAAUUGAAUCCUUCCUUUGUUUUUUUUGUUCCCAGCACACAGCGCACCUUCUCCGUUUGACUCUAGUAUUCUCUCCAUCAGGUUUAGGGCAUAAUUCAGGAAGAUGUGUUAUUCUAAUUUUUGGCAACGGCUCUGUUGGAAGGGGUCCUAGUAGUUUUUCAAUUAUAGAUAAUCUAAAGUCAUAGAGGUUUUUCUUAUUGUUAGGAUGUCCUUGCUUGUAAAGGUAAAAUGAAGUGAGCAACAUCAUUUGAAAUAUAUGUAUGGCUAAUUUUUUGUACCAUAUGAGGGUUUUAUGCUCACAAGAAUAAUAAGAAAGCAUUUGGUCACAAUGGUCCACUCCUGCCAUGAAUUGAUUAUACUUAUUUAUCAUUGCAGGUUUUAAUUUUUCUUGACCACGCUGAGUUGUCACUUUUUCAAGUUGCCCACCAUAUUGGCUGGAUAUAGCCAGAAUUUCACGACGGUCCUUCCAUUUCACCACGCAAAUCCCUUGCGAAUUGUGCUGAACAACUAACUCGCCCUUUUUUAGUUUUUUUUUAAUUAUUUCUUGAGGAUUCCCUUUUCUGUUAGACCGGAGUGUUCCAGUUACAUAUGUUUUUCGGGUAAGCAACUCCUCGGCAAGUUUUACACUAUUGUAGAAAUUGUCCAUAUAUAGCGAGUGACCGUUGUCCAAUUUCUCCGCCAUUAAAGCUAACACAACUUUUUCUGUAUGCCGUUCACCAGAUAACUCUGUAUCUGCUGAACCAGCAUAUACCAGCAUCUUCAGUGGGAUGCCUUUAGGUUCGCAUAAAACAUAAAGUUUUAUGCCAAAUUUAUGCCUUUUUCCUUUGACGUAUUGGCGAAAUUUUAAACGGCCUCGCCACAGCACCAUAGAUUCAUCAAUGGACAGUUCGUUAGUUGGGUAAUAAAUCUCUACCAUUUUAUUAUUAUAAUAAUUUAUUAACGGCAUAAUUUUACCCAAUUGCGUUCGAGGUUCGUUGCUGUCUGUGUUUUCAAACUGCAAGCUUCUUAAAAUCAGCAAAAAUCGAUUGCGACUCAUAAAUGAUGAAAAACAUGUCAGGUUAAAUAAAUAGUUUUUCUUCCAGUAGUCAUUCAUUCUAUUAAUUUUAAUUGUGCCCAUAUGAAAAAGUAAACCCAAAAAUGUUCUCAUUUCUUUUGGAGUAACAUCAACCCAUCUAGUAAUUCGCGCUUCAUCACCUCUGCCCAGUGAAAUUAGGUCGAUAGCAUGAUUAUUGGCUCGACUACAUAACAUGUCAAAAAAAACGUCUGGGGCCAUAAUGUUGAAAUAGUCUAUUGGCUCGUUGGAAUUAACAUUGACUAGUAAUCCUGGUGUCUUUGUAAAAGAAAACUUUUGACUAGGAACCUCAGCAAAAGUCCAAAAAUCCAUAGAUUUUCCUUGAAUAUUUGGUAAAGAGGGUGGAGGAGAAUUCACAGGGGCAGGAGGAGGGGGAAGGACUUUUGGAAAAGAAGGAAGAUCUUCAUCUUCGGACUCACUAACCUCGUUUUCGGUUGAGUAAUCAGGGUCCUCGUCGGAGCUAUUUUCAAAUGGAUCGUUUUCACUUUCCGACUCUUCUAAAAGAGCUAACAACUCUUCAUCAGUUAGUCUUUCUUCCCUUUUAUUAUACUUCACCCUCUUUGACGGUCCAGGCUCGUCUGCCAUAAUAAUCUGUAAGAAAAUUCAUUAAAACUAUCAUAAAUUUGCCUGUGCCCUUGAACGCCUCUCGGGCGGUCAUUAUUUAAUUUUCGUGUUUAUAUAUUCAUAUAUCUAACAAAAAAUUACUAGAAUAACAUGAUUUUGGUAUUUUUCUAUGAUUUGCACUAAUAAAAUAAUAAAAAAACUAGAAGAAUAUUAAAAACCUACCUUUUACAAAAAACUGAUAAAAAAAACACACAGAAUUAACACUUUCAGAAACCAAAGCCGUCACGUAGUAAAAAUAAGGUACACAAAACAUCCGAUCAUAAUAGUGAACGAAUUCAAACUGACCGUGCUUAUUUAUCUCCCUAUGAAUAAGCGUUAGACGAGAACGCCGCUCGGGCGGUCCCGGCAUUUUUACGAAGUGCGCAUGAACGCCUCUGAGGCGUUGCUGGCAGUGAAUGUGUUAAUAGUCAAAAAAUAUGCCGUUUUUUCUCUUAAAUGGAACACCCUGUACUUACUAAGGCACUGUUAAGGUUGAGUAUGUUUAUAGAACUCUAGGACUUACCGCAAUUUAAAAUCCAACAUUCGCAAAUACUUGGAUUUUUAUAAGGAAAUUUAAACAUAUUUAACGUAGAAUUCUUUCUUCUAGUUCGCCUACAGUCAUAAUAUUGGCAUAUAUUGCCCGACAUUAUCUAUUACAGAACGAGUGACAAAAUUUAAAAAAAAUAACAGAAUUAAGUCCAUCACAAGAGCGAAUAACAAAAAUAAUAUUGUGUUAAUCAGCCGAGAGUCGCAGCCGCCAAAUUAAAUUUUGCAACACAGCCAAGCGAUCGGCCAGAUUUCAACGCGUAAUUUCACCGAUGGAUCCUCGCUCGAAAAGCGGGGAUCCUUUUAGGUGGUCAAAAAAUUUACACAAUUGAUUUCCUUGAGUAAUGGCACAGCAUAAAGAAACCAGCAGUCGCACUUCAAUAAAAAUACAUUGGCUUGAAUAAGCGAGUUUGGUGCAUGUGUACUAACGCAGGCGAGGCAUUUUUGCUUAUAGUAGGGAUGCCGCUGACACUCGCUACGGUCCACGUGGCUUUUGCCUUGGCUAGAGCCGGACUUAAACAUUUUUUUAGAUAUUAUUAUCUUGUAAAAUAAAAAUACCUACAUAGUACAAAUAUUGAUUUUUUAAUAUAAAUAAAGUUCAUACAUUAACAAAAUAUUUAAACAAAAAUAAACAUCGCAUUUCUACAUCUAACAACGACGAUAUAGAAGAAUACGUGCAGGAAGUUAAUUAGGUAUGAACCAUAACUUUAAGAGACCAUUCUUUGAGUAAUUUUAAAACAAAAGGUUCAUAUAAACAUAUGUCCAGAAAUUCUUCGUUCUCAAUAUACAGGGUGUUAAAAUUUAACAACAACUAAAAUAUAUGCCACUGACUUUUGUGCAAUUUUUAUUAUGUUCUGUGGAUUAUACAAAUAAAACUUUUCUGUCUCUUGAAUUUUUUUCGUAUCUUGCUUAGUUAAUAAUAAAUUCCAAAUGAAACUUUUCCCCAAAUUCCUUGUGUGAUCCAGGGAUAUGCAAUUAAGUGGACUUUUUUUUCUCGAAAAAUAAGCGAGAUACGAAAAAGUUGUAUUUGUAUUUGAGUAAAUCAAAUAAGAUAUUAAAAAUGGCACAAAAUUCAGGUGCCUCAAUUUUUUUGCCACAAUAUUUCUUCAGGUCCCGUACGAGAUUACACUGAACCUAAUAAAUUUAAUCAUGUUAGGGGUAAAUUAGCCUGUUAAAUAAUUUAUGGUACAUACUUAAUUAACACCCUGCAUAGUAACGCUUUUAGAUUAACAUCUGACUACAUAGUAGUUUAAGGAUAACUAAUUAUACAAAUAAAGUAAUAUUUCAAAACAAAUAGAAACUCUUAGGCCAAUAAAUAAAGACAAAUAGUUGGCAACAAUUCAAAACAAUUCUGCGAAACAUCUGCGAAUUUUUGUUAUAUUAUUAAGUACCAACUAAAGUAAAAGUAUACAAUUUUGCAACUCUUUUAAAUAUGGCAAUACUGUUAAAAUGGCAGAAAUAUAAAUAAUGUCCUUAAAAAUCCAAAAAAAAAAAUAUUACGUUGCUGCAACUUUAACUGAUGCUUAAUUAUGUUAUUUAAGCCAUACAGCCAAAUUUGCAGCUAUUAAAAACUUUGGCAAGUCAAUUAUUUUGCUUUAUUAAUAAUUUUUGACAUACCCCUCUUUUAAUACAAAAGUUUUUAUAAAAAACGCUACGCUUUGUAAAAACGCUAUCAAAAUAGUCACUAAGUACGGCGCUGAACUAGGCGAUACACCUAUGAACACAAUUCGAUAAACAGUGAGCUCCGCAUCCGGAGAACAUGGCUGCGGCAUGGCUAAGGAUGCUAUUAGUUCGCUUACAUUUUCGAGCGGAGUGAGACUGCUGGUUUCUUUAUGCUGUGGUAAUGGGAUGUGUACUUAGGGAACAUUUGGAUAUGUUCCAUUACUAAUUUUCGACGUGCAGGUUCCAUUUUUCUGCCAGGAUCUAUACCUCUCUUGUCCUUGGCGCAUAUGCGAUUUAUAUCCGUUAUUGCACAAACCGUUGUAAACCUUUUGUUACUUAUGUCAAGGGUUUUGAGAAAAUAUAUCUUACACACUCGCUUAUGUCGAAGGUAUAUUUCAGUACUCAACUGCCUGUUAGUAGCGGCGUUGUUUCGUUUUCUUUGAACGUCUUUUUUCCUUAUGCAUGAAGAAAUAACACACCAUUUUGUAGAUUGUAAUCGGCCAAUGCAUAAAACUGUUGAAAUAUUUCUUGUCUGUCAUCUUCAGAAAUAUUUGAAUCGCUUAUUUGUGAAGAGAUCUAAGUCACAAAAAUGACUUUUUGAGAAAAUCGAAAAAAAGUGUUUAUAUUUUUAACUUAAUAAAAAUAUAUAUAUUUUUUUUGGGGCAUAGUUACAAUUCGUAUAAUGUGUACUAUUUCUACUUAUUUACAAUUUUUUUUAAAGCAAAUAUUGUUUUAUUUAUAAUAUUGUUGAUCUGACUUAUAUCCUUUCACGAAUUAAUUUAAAAACUUCAAUAAAAUCAUUCGUUUUGUAAAUUAUAUUACUAAAUUUAUAAUAAAAAACAACAUCAUUGAUAAACUUUAUUCUCAAAUAUAUAGAACUAAACAUAUUGAACAUUUUUGAUGAAACAAAAAAUCACAUUUCAAUGAUCUAUAAGACAAAACUUUUAUUAUUCAUGCUCAGCUUCCGCAUCAGUGGUUGGCCAGCCCAGUAUUUUCUCAUAAAAGUCCAUAAAGUUUUCAGGAAUAUAACCAGUUACUUUCCUGAUAUCAUUAAUUUUUUUUAUAUUAAUUGGAAUUUUUUCCCCCGGAUAAGCUCUUUCAUUAGCCAGUUGAACAAUUCCAGCAUCAGGAAUUUUUAACAAAAAAGAACUCUUUUGUACUCCAUCAAUAUACUUUAAGGCUUCAACAGUUCCUUUCCUUUCAUGAUUGUAGCGAAACUCCAUAAAAGUGGAAACUGCGAAUGACUCUUUUUUUGAACGUGGAAUAGACCUAGCACUGCUCUCCAAGGAAAAGCAAGUUUUUUUAUAGUACUUGGACCACCAGUUUUUAAAAUUUAACACAUCAUCAGUAUCGACCAUUUCGACAGUAAAUUUUUGCCCUUUUGCAGCAUUGCAAAUUACUUCACACACUUCCAUGGGUGUAUACAGCCUGUCUAUGCGAUUUAGUUUGCGUUUGACUAAACCAAAGUCACGAUCGCACGGCAAAAAUGAAUGGCCGCGAAUCGGAAAUUUGUGAACAACUUUUUCAAACGUUCCACUGUCAGUAAGAGCAAGACAAAAGCGAGUCAUAACAUUGUUCUUAUUUUGGCCCCCAGAACCGUCACUAUAGAGAUGAAGUUCUUUUACGCUGGCAGGAACAUUUUGUUUUAUAUAUUUGAAUAAAAAAGAACAUGUUUCAUUUGGCCCUUUUUUAGCCAGACCUUCAUGGUAAAGAAAAAACUGAGCACUUCCAUUUUUUAGAUUGUGAAUACCAAAAGGAAAUAAAGAAAGCUGACGUAAGUAAAAAAUAUCCUGUACGGGAAUAGACGGCAACGAAAUAUUCUGCAUAUAAUCAAAACAUAGUCCGAGAACUCUAUCAUUUUCUUUGCACAUUUUUUCUGUAUUUUGUAUGCUAGUAUUAAAUUUUUUAGAACGUCUUUUGUGCACCAUAAGUUCAGCUAAAGCAGCUCUUUUCGCUGUUUCAUUUAAAGAGGAACUUGUGGAUUUAAUUUCAAGUUCCUCGCAUUGACAACACGUAUCUACUUGCGGUCGUCCAAAUUUAUAAUCAAAAUGCUCUUUAAAAAUUUUGUAAUAUGUCGAAUAUUUCACAUCAAUUUAUGUAUGCUUUUCUUUGAAUAAGCUAUGCAGCUUCUUGACAUUUAACUUUGCAUCCAGAUAUAGAUAUUCUUUGGAUGCAUAGUGACUAUGUUUAACAGGAAAUGUUGAAAUGUGUUCACAGACUAUCUGAAUAAUAUUACCUGGAACAGUUUUUCGAUUAUUUUGUAGGCCUCUUAAAUCUCUCGGGGAUUUUCCAAGAUUUAAAAGAAGUUGCAACCGUUGUACUAACUUAGAACUUAUGCCAUGCAAGCUUAAAAAUGCUUUUUUGCAAACCUUUCGUCUCUCUGUGUUAACCAAUACAAAAUAUUCAAAAGAUGAACUUCUUUGUUUUGCUUCUUCUUUCCGUGGCCGCCUGUUCUUGAUAUUGUUUGACACCAAUAGUCCUUGCAGGUAAAUAUCUUGUUCGUUUUUGGUUGAAAAAGAACGAAACUUAUUCAUUAUGUGAAUUUGUUCUGCUGGAGUUAGUUUUUCAAAACAUUUUAGCUUGCACCUGCAAGAAUUCAUUCCCAUUAAAAAACUUCUUAAAAAACUUAAAAUUUUGUUAAACUUACAUGCAUGGCUCGCCAACAGCUUUUCCUGGAACCAUGUUAUCUCGAUAGUUUCUAUACGGUUGUCCCAGCAAUCGACUUUUCUUAAUUCUCACAGCUUUAUAUUCAUCUGUGUUUUUAACUCCCUUUUUUCUCUUUUUUUCAAUAUGCUCGCUCACUAUCACUCAUAUUAUUUAGUAUAUUAAAAAAGAAACCAAACAGAAAAACUGAAAUAUUUAGUCCGAACACGUUGGCUAACAAAACAAUAAUAAACAACUUUUCGUAAUGGCCACGUGCAUACCGAUGCGGCGCGACUGCCGCCAGUCCGUGUAAAUUUAUGAAAUGAUUUAUGUCACUGACUCAUACCCUUUCAAAAAUAAAUAUAAUAUUGUGAUGCCUUCUUUUUUGCUACGGGUAGUACAGACUUAGAUCCUUUCAAGACUAAACGGUAGAUAUACGUGCUAUAAAUAAGAUUUUAUAGUAAUCUUGAUUUUCGUCAAGUAGUGACUUAUACCCUUUCAUAAAUAAGCAAUUCAUUUGUGCUCUGCAAGUGUGUUCAUAGGGCUUAACACUACGUUGGAUAUGUGGCUUAUUUUUAUGACCAAUAUACGUUUUUUCUGAAUUUCUAAGCGUUUUUUGUACCUUAAUAUUUUUCUACUUAAUUUCUUUCUUUAAAGAGCGUCACUGGGUCCAGCUACAUCUUUAUUGGAGGCGUCACUAUCUAAAUCAGAAAACACUGCACUGUUAUCUGAAAAUAAAAAUCAUUAUUUUAUUACACAUUAAUAAAUUUAAAAACAUAUAUGAGCAAAAAUUAAGUACUUAUUUUAAGCAAAGUAUUUUAUUUACCUGUUACUUGAGUGUAUCUUUCUGCUAAAUCAACAUCAUCAUUGGAAGUAUCACUUUCAGGUAUGUUAUCUCUGUCUUCAUCGGUGGCAAAUGGAUCGAAAAGUUCGUGUUCGUUCCAAACAAAUGUGAACUUAAGGUAGUAAUCUAAGUACUUAUCUCAGAUUUCGUUAAAAUUGUACUUAUACCCCUUUUAUUCUAAACGCCUUAAAUAAGUUACUGUAGAAUGGUUUUAAAUGUCCAUUUUCGGGUUUUAAAGUAUGUUCGAUAAGACUCAGUCAUUUGAUCACAAAUAUCAACUCCGCCCAUCUUUUCAUUAUAAACUUUAAUAAUUACAUUUGGACAGGAUACUUCUAUAUGUUUUUUUUGUGUUUUUAUCCCAUCUCUGAACAGUUUUUACUGGUUCUAUUCCAAAAGCCUUGACGACUGAUUUGUUAUCUUUCCAUUUUGUCAAACAUACUUUCCUAUUUUUUACGUGCACUUCUGCGUCGCCUCUUUUUGAAAUACACAUCCAUUUACUCUGUUUGUCAUUAUGGUUCCCGUUCCUUCCAUUUUUUAUUUUUCAAAUAAUGGUAUUGUGGAAAAAUAUCGGUCAAAAAAAACUAAAGCUUCCAGGUGGCAAGGUUUGUAUUAAACGAAGAAUAACUGAUGGCCCUAAACCAAGUUGUUUAUCUGGCAAUGGCGUCAAGGAACCCUGGUAUAUUUCGAAGCCCAAUAUUGUACCACAAGACGUUGUAAUGACAAAAUUCUUAAGUCCAACCGGUCUUGGUUUAUUUUUGACAUAUUGACGUAUAGGACAUCGUCCUAAAAAGGGUAUCAUUUGCUUAUCAAUUGAAAAACAACCAUUCUCUGGCCUGUGAAUUUCAAGACAUCUUUGUCGAACUCGGUCUAUCAUUGGUUAAACUUUCCAGAGAUGAUUCUUCUUUUUGAUAUCAUCCGAUACUGAUAGAUUAGAUAGAAGUUUAUAAAAGCUGUCAUGCGCCAUAACAUUAGCUAUAAGAGGUAAUCGAUAUUUGAUACUCCAGUAAAGGUGGAUUCUAGGAAACUUAAAACAUCCCAUAAUUGCAUGCAUACCAAAAAAUUGCCUAAUUUCUUCAUCAGUCAAUUUUGGAGUGAUUUCCCUACCAUGUUGUUCCAAGUAAUACUGAGAAGUUAACGCUUAGGGAAAACAAUGCAUUACUUAAAUAAUUUGACAUUAAAAACACAGUUUAAAUUAAUUUUAGUUAAAACUUUAUUCGCCAUCACUAGUCACAAGAAUUCGAAAAAACAAAAAAAAAACGGUAAUUCAUGCUCCUCUGCCGAAGGCAAAAUGGCUACUAAAUCCAGCUCGUGCGUAAAGAGGUGUCUUGCACAAUGGUGUCGUAUCGUUUUGGACAGUUAAAAUAUCAUUUUGAUGUUUAUAUCCCAUGUUAAUAAGACUCACACAAUUGUGACAUGCUGGAGCGUAAGGGUUAUUGCUAUUUUCGACCUCAUCAAAUAUAACUUGAUUUAUCUCGUCAUCUUUAUCCGAAUCGGGAUUAGACUCACUGCCACUAGAGACACCUCGUAAGUACAAAAUGAUACAUUUUGAGAAAUCAGAAAAAAGUAUUUUUUUCUUUUGUUUAACGUAAAAUCGUUGUUUAAUAAGUGUAAGAAUAUAAUAGGAAAUAGUUAUAAAAAACGAAUUUUUAAAAAACACAUCUUUUCUUUGUAAAACCAAACUUACGUGCUAUUGGAACACAAAAAAUAACACUUACGUGUUAUUGCACUUUAUUAAUUUAUUUUAUUACAUUGAAAAGUGAGUAGAGGUAUCCAAUCAUAUUAUUUCACAUUAACAACGAAAAAAUCAUAAUUAAAUAAGAAACCUAAAAACUAUUAGUUUUUAUAAAUGAAUAGUUUCCAAAACACAAAAAAAACUUAAAUUUUAAUUUAAAUAUAAAUUUUAAUUCAAAUUUUUAUUUAAAUAUAUACGGCAGCGGGUCCGCAUGACCUGUCUUACAUUUUGCGGCUUUGGGAGCAAUAAUCUAACAUUUUCGGGCAUAUUUCUACGGCAUUGGGACACCAAUGGGUCUAAAAUUUUAUAAGCAACGCAUAUUUUCGGCUUUGGUAAAUUGAGACCAUAACACCUUGAACGUAUAUAUACGGCGGCUGGGACUACAGACCUACCUUUUUAAAAAACAUAUAUAUAUAUAUAUAUAUAUAUAUGCGGCGUUGGAACAUCAGAAAGAGUUAAAUGUAAAUAAAAAUGUCAUCAAAUUUCAGUUUAGAAGACCAACGUGGCAUUUCCUUAUUGAAUUCAUCUUCAGGGACCGAUUUAUCCGCUUGCGUCUUCAAUUUUUAAGUUUUUGUAUUCGGCACACUGAUACCCGUCAACCAUUAAAAUAAUCGCAGUAAACUAUCGAGAUUUAACAGGCGGCCUUAUUUAUUCAAAACUACGAUUUUUAUUAUACGUCGAUGUUAGUUUUUAUUGUGAUAACUUUUUGAAACCUUCGAGAUCUGGAUUUUUUUUUUUUUUUUAUAACGCUACGCUAUAUAAAACUAACUAGAGUUGAACUGUAAAUAUUGUUUUACCUACAUAAAAGUUUUUUUGGGUGUUUAAAAUAUAAAACGCAUUCCAUUUAAUGGUAGUAAUUUUUCCGUCGUGGUAAGUUUAAUUUAGUGCCAUUGGGUAAAAGGGCGUUUGGAACGUAUGCACACUCCUGAAUAAGAGAUUCCUUAGUUACUUUAAGACCAACCACCCACCAGACUUGAGGUCCGUUGACUUUUUGGAAAUAAGCGUAAAACGAGAAUUUUCAGAUUAGUUCUUUUACUGCAUACGUUCCAUACGCCGUUUUACUCGAUUUUUAGUGGUUACUACGAAUUAAGGUGGCUUUCUUCCUUCUUUAUCAUCUACAUGUAUGUUUUUUUUAGAAACUGUAUAAGUAAUCUCCCGUUUAAAAAAAAAAGAAAAAACAUUAAAAUAACAUAAUUUUUAUAUUUAUUUGAACAUUAUAUAUAUUUCAAAAAAAAUUAAAAAACGGAUAUUUUUCUAUACUUAAUGGUUUGCUAUAUACCGUACCCACGAAUGUUGUAAAUAGAGAAUUCUAUACCGCGUUGCCUUCCAUUUAAUAUGUUAAGGAUUAUUAAUUAAUUAAUUUUUUAUUAAUAGUGCUACUUUUAAGGUUAUGGAUUAUAUGACGUUCCAGUUUUGUUUCCGGGCACCCCCGGACCGAAGAAUAUUGUUUCGGUUCCGAAUUGUAUAAUGGUGGAACUAAAUUUUUAAUUUUUAAUUCUUUUGGGUAGUUUAAACGCAGUUACUUAUUCAUUUGUAUAACAUUAGGGUUAUCAAUAAACCUUUUAUUAGAACGUU
rnacentral:misc_RNA from 1 species